rnacentral:rRNA from 1 species
AGUGAACGCUGGCGGUAGGCCUAACACAUGCAAGUCGAACGGCAGCACAGUAAGAGCUUGCUCUUACGGGUGGCGAGUGGCGGACGGGUGAGGAAUACAUCGGAAUCUACUUUUUCGUGGGGGCUAACGUAGGGGAACUUACGCUAAUACCGCAUACGACCUACGGGUGAAAGCAUGGGAUCUUCGGACCUUGCGCGAUUGAAUGAGCCGAUGUCGGAUUAGCUAGUUGGCGGGGUAAAGGCCCACCAAGGCGACGAUCCGUAGCUGGUCUGAGAGGAUGAUCAGCCACACUGGAACUGAGACACGGUCCAGACUCCUACGGGAGGCAGCAGUGGGGAAUAUUGGACAAUGGGCGAAAGCCUGAUCCAGCCAUACCGCGUGGGUGAAGAAGGCCUUCGGGUUGUAAAGCCCUUUUGUUGGGAAAGAAAAGCAGCAGGUUAAUACCCCGCUGUUCUGACGGUACCCAAAGAAUAAGCACCGGCUAACUUCGUG